GGCUCUGUGGCGGUUGGUCCGCGUCUGCAUUAAGUUCAUACUUUCCAUUUGUUCAGUGAUGUAGAAGACGCUUGUUCGAAUCGAGCCGGAGCCA